AAAUCAAAUCAUGUAAUUUUUUUAUAGUCGAACAGACUAACUAACUCUAGCUUCUUCACCAAAAUGAAAAUUAAUUCAACAUCGAGGUCACAAACUUUAAUUAUUAAUAAGAACUUGUUAAUUAAAUUAUGCUGUUAUCCCUAGAGUAACUUAAUUUAUACUAAAUUUUAUAUUUAAAAAUUUAAAUCUUCAAAUGUUACCCCAACUAAAAAUUUAAUAAAAUAAAUUUUAAGCUUCUAGGGUCUUCUCGUCCCAAAAAUUAAUAAAAGCAUUUUUACUUUUAAUUUAAAUUCAAAAUAAUUUAAUAAAACUACCUUUUUAGUAUAAACCCUUCAU
rnacentral:rRNA from 1 species